GCCUGGGUGGCUCAGUAGGUUGAGCGUCCGACUUCAACUCGGGUCAUGAUCUCGCAGUCUGUGGGUUCAAGCUCCGUGUCAGGCU
rnacentral:tRNA from 1 species